ACGAACGCUGGCGGCGUGCUUAACCCAUGCAAGUCGAACGGUGAAGCGCCUUCCUUUUUGGUGGGUGUGGAUGAGUGGCGAACGGGUGAGUAACACGUGAGUAACCUGCCCCCUUCUUCUGGAUAACCGCAUGAAAGUGUGGCUAAUACGGGAUAUUCUGGGUCUGUCGCAUGAUGGGUCUGGGAAAGAUAUUGUUUCGGGGGGGGAUGGGCUCGCGGCCUAUCAGCUUGUUGGUGGGGUGAUGGCCUACCAAGGCGGUGACGGGUAGCCGGCCUGAGAGGGUGGACGGUCACACUGGGACUGAGACACGGCCCAGACUCCUACGGGAGGCAGCAGUGGGGAAUAUUGCACAAUGGGCGCAAGCCUGAUGCAGCGACGCCGCGUGAGGGAUGGAGGCCUUCGGGUUGUGAACCUCUUUCGCCAGUGAAGCAGGCCUGCCUCGUUUGUGGGUGGGUUGACGGUAGCUGGAUAAGAAGCGCCGGCUAACUACGUG
rnacentral:rRNA from 1 species